UACGUAGGGGGCAAGCGUUGUCCGGAUUUAUUGGGCGUAAAGAGCGUGUAGGCGGCCAGGUAGGUCCGCUGUGAAAACUCGAGGCUCAACCUCGAGAUGUCGGCGGAAACCCUCUGGCUAGAGUCCGGAAGAGGAGAGUGGAAUUCCCGGUGUAGCGGUGAAAUGCGCAGAUAUCGGGAAGAACACCCGUGGCGAAGGCGGCUCUCUGGGACGGUACUGACGCUGAGACGCGAAAGCGUGGGGAGCGAACAGG
rnacentral:rRNA from 1 species